rnacentral:misc_RNA from 1 species
GGAAGUAAAAGUCGUAACAAAGUUUCCGUAGGUGAACCUGCGGAAGGAUCAUUAUUGGAUUUUGAAACUUCAGGCUGCUGCUGGCUCUCCUCGGAGGGCAUGUGCACGCUUGUUGUCCAUUAUUUCUCCCACUGUGCACAAAUUGUAGACCUUUCAGUAGGCCUAUGUUGUUUUUCACAAUCUCUGAAUGUAAUAGAAUGGUUUUGAAUCUUGGGAAAUACAAUACAACUUUCAGCAACGGAUCUCUUGGCUCUC